AACUUCUGAAUGUUGACCUCGGAUCAGGUAGGAAUACCCGCUGAACUUAAGCAUAUCAAUAAGCGGAGGAAAAGAAACCAACAGGGAUUGCCCUAGUAACGGCGAGUGAAGCGGCAACAGCUCAAAUUUGAAAUCUGGCUCUCGGGCCCGAGUUGUAAUUUGUAGAGGAUGCUUUUGAUGCGGUGCCUUCCGAGUUCCCUGGAACGGGACGCCAUAGAGGGUGAGAGCCCCGUCUGGUUGGAUGCCAAAUCUCUGUAAAGCUCCUUCAACGAGUCGAGUAGUUUGGGAAUGCUGCUCUAAAUGGGAGGUAUAUGUCUUCUAAAGCUAAAUACCGGCCAGAGACCGAUAGCGCACAAGUAGAGUGAUCGAAAGAUGAAAAGCACUUUGAAAAGAGAGUUAAAAAGUACGUGAAAUUGUUGAAAGGGAAGCGUUUAUGACCAGACUUGGGCUUGUUUAAUCAUCCGGGCUUCUGCCCGGUGCACUUGUUCAGCUCAGGCCAGCAUCAGUUUUCCCCGGGGGAUAAAGGCGGCGGGAAUGUGGCUCUCUUCGGGGAGUGUUAUAGCCCACCGUGUAAUACCCUGGGGGGGACUGAGGUUCGCGCAUCUGCAAGGAUGCUGGCGUAAUGGUCAUCAACGACCCGUCU
rnacentral:rRNA from 1 species